rnacentral:rRNA from 1 species
AGAGUUUGAUCAUGGCUCAGAGCGAACGUUAGCGGCGGGCCUAACACAUGCAAGUCGAACGAGAAAGUCCUUCGGGGCGAGUAUAGUGGCGCACGGGUGAGGAACGCGUAGGUAAUCUACCCUCAGGCGGGGGACAACAUUCCGAAAGGAAUGCUAAUACCGCAUAUGACCACGCUCACUACGGUGAAAGUGGUAAAAGGCGCCUCAAAGCGCCACCAGAGGAUGAGCCUGCGUCCCAUCAGCUUGUUGGUAAGGUAACGGCUUACCAAGGCUAAGACGGGUAGCUGGUCUGAGAGGAUGAUCAGCCACACUGGCACUGGAACACGGGCCAGACUCCUACGGGAGGCAGCAGUGAGGAAUAUUGGGCAAUGGGCGAAAGCCUGACCCAGCCACGCCGCGUGUGUGAUGAAGGCCUUCGGGUCGUAAAGCACUGUGGGGAGAGACGAAACAGCGCAUCAGGAAAUGGUUGCGCCUUGACGGUACCUCCUUAGCAAGCACCGGCUAACUCUGUGCCAGCAGCCGCGGUAAUACAGAGGGUGCAAACGUUGCUCGGAUUUACUGGGCGUAAAGCGCGUGUAGGCGGACUCGCAAGUCGGUUGUGAAAUCCCUGGGCUCAACCUAGGAACUGCAUCCGAAACUGCUUGUCUUGAGUAAUGGAGA